UCGGUGAUUAUUUCAGUAGAUUUACUUUGAAAAUUCAUUUAGCAUUUCCAUGUGAAUACAUGUCAAUAUGGCUGGAGAAGAAUCUAUAUUGAAGUCAAGAGAGCCUCUUGUUUUCCGCAAUGCGCUUGACAACUGGAAGGUCUUUCAUUGGACAUUUGAUGACUGGGCUCAUUUCUUUAGGGGUCAACCUCUAAAAUUUCGUGUCGGCUCCAAAAAGUGCAGUAAGGAGCCCCAGUGGGAACGCUCAUCCAAAACCACUACAAUGACUUUAGACGAAUUUAAAAAUCUAGCGGUUGAAGAGUCUGACUCCUGGUACUAUUUGAUUACAAACAUUUAAACGACUAUUGUGAUCAUGAUACUUCAUUUUUAGAUGAUAUCAACUGGAGCUGUGUAGGCUUACCUGAAAGAUCAGGAAAGGACUCAACCCUUUGGAUUGGAUCAAAGGGUGCACACACUCCGUGCCAUAUUGAUACUUAUGGUUGUAAUAUUGUCGCUCAAAUUUUUGGCAGGUAGGAUUUUUUGCACAACCGCUGAGUAUUCAAAUCUUUUGCUGUGUGGAGGCCCUUAGUGCAUGAUAAGCUAUUUUUGCCAUUAUUUAUGAUGAAAUCUGGAAAAAUUACUCUUAGCUGCAUAAUCAAACUAAGGAAAGCAAAUAUAACGGAUGUCUCUAAAAAUGCUGUUUUUGAAAAAGGCCAGGAUCUUAAAUGAAUAAUCCAACCAUACUUUUAGUGCUCAACGCAAAAAUGACAUCUGUUUGCAUUUGAUUUGGUCAGGUAGGACAUAUUAUUCCAAAAUUACAAGUACUAAGGAAAGACUGUAAAAUUGUGUAAAAGCUAUCAUGUGAAUAGAAAGGAACUCAUGACAAGUAAGGAGGAUGCUAUCUCCGAUUGCUUGAAAACAGAGAAACUUGAUAAUGGUAUCCAGUAUAAUGCAGUUCCUGCUCCCUUUUAAUUUCCUAUGUUUAUAAGACUAUUUUCAAUAUUCAUGAAGUGGAACUUAGGCCCUUUUUUUGGAGAGCAGCUUUUUUAAUUAAGCAUAGUCUUAAGUGCAUGUAAACAAAUUUUCAUGAUCCUAGCUGCAAAAUUAAAGGAGAAUUUUCAGAAGUAGUUCUAAUCAGAAUUAGACACUUUUGUCCUCAUGCUGCUUCUUAUACAAUGGUGUGAUUUAAACGGAAUACAAAUCCGUAUGGAUGAGACAAUAUUCAUAAAAACACUACUAAACAUAUACCAAUCUUUUGAUUUAUUAUCAUUGAGCAGCUUAAUUUUCAAAAUUAUGCAAAAGUUCUUUUCACUCACACGAUAUGUAAGCUGAGAACCAUUUUUCCAAAAUAAGUCUUAUGUUUUGUCAUCAUCUGACUGCCAUUGAACUGUUUAAUUUGAUGGAUUUUCAGAAAAAGGUGGCUGCUGUUUCCCCCAGAUACAGUUCAGCUGAAGCCAAGCAGAAUUCCAUAUGAAGAGUCUAGUAUAUACACACACAUCAACUUUCAGUGCAGUCGAAACUAUGGUAAGCACAGGGUUCUCGCCCCCCCCCCCCCGUCUGCCUCCCAAAAUUUCAGUCUUUGUGUAAGCUUGUAAAUAAAAAAGGCCUAAAUAAAUACUGGAGGCCACUUCGUCACCUUCCAACCGAAGUAUCACAAGCGCCUUUUGUCUCUAGGUGUUGUGUUGCAAAGCUUCUCAAACUGUCCAAUUGUUUACGGAAUACUUAAGAAACAAAAUCACUAAAAAUUGUACCUAAUAUUUCUUUUCUCAUCAAGAUUAAUUUUUUUUUAAUUUUUUAAUUUAGUUACAAUGUGUAAAUUCUAAUGUGUAGAAGUUCACAAUAAAUGCUUUAAAAAAAAAAAAAAAAAAAAAAAAAAAAAAAAAAAAUUGACAUUUUCAUGAAAGUGCAUGCAAGAGUUUUAAAGGAAAAAUUAAAACAUCUUUGAAAUGUUUGGUAACAUAGCAUCAAAGCAUAAAUGGCACUCGUGAUACUUUGGCCAGAUGGUGACGACUUAAAUAUAUUUUUUGUUAAUUCUCUCACAAGUUUGACCUUAGAAACUUGAUCGAGUGUGGGGUGCAUCAAAUACAAAGAUGGGUGUUUUAGCCUUCAUCAUUUGUAGGGCUGAAAAAUUUUGUGUUAGUAUGCACUUUGCUCAUUAGAAUUUUUGCAUGGUGCCUAAGAAUUUAAAGUGACCGUCAAAACAGCGUUGAAAAAUGGGCCAGUUUUUUUUCUCCUCUGAAUCUUGUUUUACCAGUCUGUUGAAGAUCACUAAUUAACAAUUAAUUUUAAAGUUCCGACAUUGAUUUUCUACAAUAAGCACUAACUGGGAUAUCGUCCCUUGAAAAAAUCAGCAGAUGACUUCAUCCGCUGCGCUGAUGUAGACUGGGGUUUCUUUCGCACGGUUCUAUCGUCAAUCAAUAUCGUACUUUUGACUGAACUUUACUCAGUUUGCUCCAAAACGAUCCCAAAACUGACUAGUUCAAAAUUGAAGAAACAAUGAUUUACAACAUUUUAAUGGUGUAAUUCAGUUUUGUUUUUUGAGAGAUAUCUCUAUUAAAAUCAGAUGUGAAAACUCAGCAUUGGGACUUAUUUUAUUUUACAAUAUUUCUAAGAAGGAAUUCAAGACAA
rnacentral:lncRNA from 1 species